ACUUGAUCGGCUACAUUUCUCGACGUUAUCGGCUCGGAAUAUUAGUUGCCAGCUGUACUCCACAGAGGUGUGAUCCACUCCUUCGCGAUGAGUUUUACACCUAUCUGGAAAACCGUCGAUUUUGUCAGAUGGCGCGGAGGACGGAGAUCUAACGGCUAGAGUUUCAUUCAAUGUGUCAGACUUGUCUCCAGAUCCCUCGUGGCACGACAAAGCUUUUUAUAUUGAGUCAUUGCCCUCAAGUUUG